CCUACGGGUGGCAGCAGUGGGGGAUAUUGCACAAUGGGGGAAACCCUGAUGCAGCGACGCCGCGUGAGUGAAGACGUACCUCGGUAUGUAAAGCCCUAUCAGCAGGGAAGAAGAUGACCGUUCCUGACCUAGGAGCCCCGGGUAACUACGGGCCAGCAGCCGCGGGAACUCGUAGGGGGCCAGCGGUAUCCGGGUUUACUGGGGGUAAAGGGGAGGGAGACGGCAAUGCAAGGCUGGGGGGAAAGGCCGGGGCCCAACCCCGGAACUGCUCUGGAAACUGUACGGCUCGAGUGCGGGAGAGGUAUGCGGAAUUCCUGGUGUAGCGGUGAAAUGCGUAGAUAUCAGGAGGAACACCGGUGGCGAAGGCGGCCUACUGGACUGCGACUGACGUUGAGGCUCGAAAGCGUGGGGAGCGAACAGGAUUAGAUACCCGGGUAGUC
rnacentral:rRNA from 1 species